GCAACGGACAGUCAACAUCAUCACGGGCAGUUGGCCAGAUGCUAUUUAUACGCGGAUGCUAACUCAGAGCGAGCACAAGCAAGGGCACCUCGGCGCCGAGCCACGUGUGACCUUCUGGAUUCUCACCCACUUCUAUUUAUUGUGAUUCCGGUCCCGUGGCCCUGCUGCGUAGAUGCUUGCCAGGCUCGCUUUCACACCACCCGCUCCCUUGCCUGCAAACGAGAGCUACGCCAAAGGCUGCAAGCAUCCCUCCAGGUUCGAAUCCGGCAGUUCCCACACGUCUACAAUCCUGCUAAUGUGAUCCGGGGAUUCGGGAGACCUACAGUAGGCCUCCUUCUCUUGACAACAUCCAACCCAGAGCCGGCCCUCGCUUCCUGCGUUCCUUCCAGAAUCAUCCAGCUCAUGCCCAAACCAUACAAGCAGCCCCUUCCAGGCCACCUUCUCCCAAGGAAGCUACAAAGGCCCCCGAAUGGCAUGUCCCCCCACACUGCAGCAAGUUCAAUAAA